UUAUAAGGAAGGCUUCGGUCCUCCAUUUCAGCCUUUCUUUCUGCCCGGACAAGGCCGUAGCAUUUCUAGUCUUGUAAACACUGGAUUCUUUGGGGCCU
ensembl:misc_RNA